rnacentral:rRNA from 1 species
UACGAAGGGGGCUAGCGUUGUUCGGAAUUACUGGGCGUAAAGCGCGUGUAGGCGGGCCGUUAAGUUGGGGGUGAAAGCCCAGAGCUCAACUCUGGAAUUGCCUUCGAUAUUGGCGGCCUGGAGCAUGAUAGAGGCGAGUGGAAUUGCGGGUGUAGAGGUGAAAUUCGUAGAUAUUCGCAGGAACACCAGUGGGGAAGGCGACUCGCUGGAUCAUUGCUGACGCUGAGACGCGAAAGCGUGGGGAGCAAACAGG